UUCCAUUUUCUUUCACAGCUCUUUCGCCUCCUCUCUCUAUCUCUUCAUUCUAUUUUUUUCUUUAAUAUUUCACUCCAAAUCCUUGCCCCGUUUUAAGUGUUUUAACCCCUGAUCACUGAGUCGAUACCUUGUCCGAUUGAUCUAGAACCCAGCAGCGCAUGUCAGGGCUCUGCCUGACUAAGUACGUUGGGGUUCUGUCUCGUGACAUAUUGAUAAAGUUGAAUUUGGGUUAUUAUACUUAACGUGAGUGCAUUAUAUAUUUUAUUAAAUAGCUCAGGAGUUAUACCCAAGAUUAUACCAGGAGGCUUUUUAGUUGAACCCUAAAGUUACAAAGGGAGAGUUCAAAGACGAAAGACAUCGGGUAAUUGGUGGAUUCAUGAAGAUACGAGACUGGAUCUUGAAGAUUCAAGAUGAAAUGAUUUCAGACACUCGGUUGAAGACCUUGAUCAAGAUAAUGGAUGUACAUCUUUGGAAUUUGGUUUGUUCUUAACUUAUUGGACCAAACUUCAUGUCUUAGCGGAAUUUAAAGUAUUCGAUGUUGGGCACUGGAAAUCUGGCGUUUCGUUCUUCUGUCGGUUAAGUUUGAAGACAAAGUAUCGAGCGAUGUUUUUACAUUUGGUUGUAGCUUGGUUCGCGUUAACACUAUUCGGGAUUAGUUUGAGGGAAAUGAUCUACAGUGCUUGAUGUUGGAUUCCUCGGGUCUCUCAAAGCGGCCAUUUAAGUGAUAGUCAACAAGUCUUUUAUUAGAAGGGUUGAAGAUCGUUGUGCUCUGCCGGAAAGAUCAAGUCUCAACCAAAGUUGAAAGCAGGCAUGAUAUUAUUAGUCAAGGGGGAGUCUGUAAGUGCAGUAUCCAGUGACUGAAGAUCAUCAAUGCCACACAGAAAUGAUAGCAACAGUUAAGGGGGAGUCUGUAAGUGCAGUUCCUAUCGGGUAACUGUGCUUUAUUAGUUCUGGUCAACAAGGUCAAAGGUCCAAGUCAACGAAGUCAAAGAUGAUGAAGCAUGACAAGAUUCCAGAUUACAAGGUUAACUCGGAAUAGUGGGUUCCGAGUUUGUUAAUUUAUCCAAGUUGCUCGGAUUUAAGUCAUAAACUCGGAUGGUUCCUUGUGUGUUAAAGGCUCCAAAUUUAUGAGUUAAAUUCAGAUGAUUGUUUGGUUAUUAUUCCGAGUUUGUAAGUAAGCUCGGACAAGAGUAUUCGUUGUAUCCCAAACAAUAUGUUUCGUCCGGAUUUAGUCCCUAGUCUAUAUAUAUGUGUUAUAUAGCUUAGAUUAGGGUCAUCCUUGAAAACUUUGUGCACACCUUGGAAAGUUCUGUGUGAGCCUAGAGGGAGAGACUGUGUGUCUAGAGAGAGAAAGUCCUGGUUUAGGUAUGUGUGACCUAAACUAGGUUGGGGAAGAUGAUAUAUACUCUUUAGGUUUGUAAAUUUGUGAUGAAUGAUUCAUGGAUGUUGUUGGGCGACGAUCCAGGGGGUCCCGGGGACUUUCAAUUAUAA
rnacentral:lncRNA from 1 species